AGACUAAAUUAUUCUGGUUCAAAAUGGGCUGUUUUUUGAGAUUUCAGUGGAGAGGAAAAAAAGUGUUUAAGUAUUUUCAAGAGAGGUAACCUCGCUCGGUGAGCCCCGCCCGCGAUCCACGCUCUCUGGGAGCUAGGAGGGGCGCAGGAGCCGGGGUCUCUGCCCUGCCCGCCUGGCUUCCAGAUGUGGUGCAGCGCCAGCGCGCGGGGACACAGUGUCCGCCAGGAGAAGGAAGGGCCGCCCUGCACCACACCAGGCCAGCCUCUGGUGUUAAUGAGAGCCUAUAUUUGGAAGUGGCAUCUGGAGAGGUUUGCCUUGCACAAAGACCAAAUAAUUACCUCUUGGCUUUUGAAAAAGGAAGGGGGAAGCGGGAAGACAAAGGCGCCUGUGAGCGCGGAGGACGCUCUCCUGGGACUCUGGCCUGGAGCGGGACUGCAGCCUUGCGUGCGGCGAGGGCGCUGCGCUACUCAGGGCUUCCGCGAAGCCAGGGGCAGCGCGGCCGCGUGCAAAUUAAGUACUCAUGUCACCGUGUUAGCUAUGGUGGCUUGAAAGAAAUGCUUUGUAGCCCUCUAAAGGCAGGCUGAUCGGAAGAACUGGAAGAUUGCAAAGAUAAAAAGGAACUCUGGCAGAGAAGGGGGGCAAGAGGUGUACCCAUGUGUGGGUGUGUCCAUGUGGUGUGCCUGCCUUGCUCCAGAAUAAGCCUCCAUAGGUUCCCAUGGCAGUGGACAUGUUUGGUAAACUUGUAAGGUGACAAGGAAAAUUGAUCAAGUUACGUUAAGAGGAAAAAAGGCAUUCCAGGCCACCAUAUCCUUAGUCACGUAGGCUACUACCAGGUCACUUCUAUAGAGGGAGAAUGCCGAGCCAAUUUGUCUGCAUCAUUUCUAUGGCAUGAAUCAAAGUUGUAUUUGUGUCCAUCAGAAUAGAGACUUUAUGCUGGAGGAAAAUCACCCAUGAGCCCCAGGGAAGGCAGUGAUUUGACACAAUGAUGUUGAAAGUCAAGAGUGCUCAGCAUGAAAUGCCCCAGCGAUGACAGCAGGAUUAACCAUCAGUGUGAAGACAGAAUGGGUGUGCCUGUUGAUGAAAGGCGCUUGGACACAGAGGCAGCCCUUCCCUGGCUCUUCUGAGGAUGUCUGCUGGAUGGAGAACAGUCAGAACACCUAUGGAUCUGAAGCUUAACCAAAGUGGAGAUUGAGCAGCUGUGGGAAGUCAUAAGUAAAUCACAUUUACAACUCAGCUGGUUGUACAGAUGCAGUUUGGAAAAUUUGGAAGCUGGUUUUAUAUAUUGUAUCAUUCUCUUUUGAGAAAAGUUGGAUAUUUCUGCUUGGAGUGUGUCAAUGGAUUCCAAAGUGAAUUUGAAAAAAAAAAUCUAGAAAUGAUAGGAAGUGGUAUGCUCUUCAUCACCAUCAUCAUUUUCUUAUGAGAGCACUUAAAUGUAUAUAUUUUGAAGAAAUUUCAGUAGAUACACCCACAGUCAUUUCAGGUUGAUGAACCAUGCUCUUGAAGCCUCAGCGCAAUUGCCAGAGCACUAAGAUGGAGAAACAAUAGACGUUUUCUUUGGAAAGAACAAUUAAAGGUGAUUGAUCACAAAUUCUUUGUCUUACACGCAGCUUAUGUUUUCUUAAGCUGUGUCAGCCUGGAGAUUAAAAGAAGGUUCAAUUAAAAACACAGAAGAGUAGCUGUCUGUCUUUGUCCCUAUAGCUUUGCAGAAGGCCUCCUUCUCAGGCUCUCCCCAUCCUUCCCAGAGUCCUGGGUGGGGGCUUGGGGUCUCUCACGGCCUAUCCAUCUUGGUGGCACUGUUAUUGUCUUUUUCCUCCUUUCCUGGCCCCAAGCCAGGCCUCUGGUAGUCACCAUUGCUGCCAAACAUGCUGUGCAAGUUGCCAAAGCCAUUGCAAAGCUUGUAUGAUGUUCUUGAAGGGUGGUGUUCCUUCUGGCUUCUUUUCCUGUGUACAUGCAGACCCAUUUUGCUUAGACUCUAGUGUCCAUGCUCCCAUGGGCUCCAAUCCUCUGCAGGUAGAGAACAUCUCACUGCCAGAUAUGUCUUCUUCUCUUCCACAUGGAUUGCUGAGCACAACAGCCAUAAGGCCUCACUACCUUUACCCAGCCCUAUGCUGUAUAAAUUUGUUUUAAUCCCCCACCCUAGGGUCUGGAAAUCAGGCCACGGGGCCCAAGAAGAAAAUAUUAAUACGAAUGACAGAUACUGUGCUCAAUGCAAAAUAACCUUUCUUCUUUGACACUGAAGCACUUGUCUUCAGAUCUGUGCCCUUGGAUUACCAUCAUAUUCACUUAGCGAUGGGGAUAUAUUCUGAGAAAUUUGUUGUGCAAUUUAGUUGUGUGAACAUCAGGGUGUAUUUACACAAACCAAGAUAUCAAGCCUACCACACUCCUAAGCUAUAUGAUAUGGCCUAUUUCUCCUAGGUGACACACCUGUACAGCAUGCUAUUGUACUAAAAACUGUAAGCAAUUAUAAAAUAAUGGUAUUUGUGUAUCUAAACAUAGAAAAAGUACAGUACAGUAAAAAUACAGAAUCAUAAUCUUAUGGUAUCACCAUUGUAUGCAUGUUCCAUUGUUGACUCAAACCUCCAAAACAUUGUUUAUGUGAUACAUGACUGUAUUUUCCUUGAAGGCCUCCUGGUCUUUUAUGCAAAUAGACACCUGAUAGGUGAUCUCUCCCCUGCCCUGCAGACAUCUCCUGAUUGUUGAAUGCCAGGAUGAACACAACCUAGGUCCUUGAACUGAAAAUCUUAUUACAUACAGAUUAAGAAAUUAAGAACUAGGCCAGGUAUGGUAGCUCACGCCUGUAAUCCCAGCACUUUGGGAGGCCUAGGUGGGUGGAUCAUGAUGUCAAGAGGUAGAGACCAUCCUGGCCAACAUGGUGAAACCCCAUCUCUACUAAGAAAUAAAAUGGCUUAUUUGAAAUCCUAUGUGUGCUUGGUGACAGAGUAGCACCUGGGAGAGCAGACCCUUCCUCUGCCACACUCAGUCUAUCACCAUGGAUGCUUCUGUUCCCUUCAGCUCUGUGCUUUGUGUCACUUAAAAGCUAUGGAGCAUUUCCCCCUUCAUUUGGUCAAUACCAAACAUUCUGAAAGGGAAUACAGUCACCCACAUGGCAAUGUGGGCAUAAUGUAGAGGACACUGCUCGUAAUUUCUCCCAGCCAGAGACAUUAUAGAUUUGUAUAGCUCUGGAAAGGGUAGAAGAACCUUGAUGACAGAGAAUGAAAUAGCGCAAAUGGGUAAAGGUGGGCUGUACAUUGUUUUAGGAGGAAGUGAUUCUUCAGGUUGCAAAGAUUUCAUGUGCUACCUAUCUAUCAAUCAUCUAACAUCUAACUAUCACCAAUCAAUCUAUCAUCAAUCUAUCAUUAACCUGUCACCUAUCUAUCAGUCAUCUAUCAUCAGUCAACCACCAAUCUAUCAACAAAUCACCUAUCAACAAAUCAUCUGUCAUCAAUCAAUCAUCUAUUUAUCAUGAUCUACCUGUCAAUCAUCAUUUAUCACAUGUCCUCAGAAAUGUACAUAUAGAUAUAUAUAUUUCUUUUUCUUAAAUAAACACUUAUUGAGUGCCUACCUUGAG
rnacentral:lncRNA from 1 species